UACGAAGGGGGCUAGCGUUGCUCGGAAUGACUGGGCGUAAAGGGCGCGUAGGCGGAGUGCUUUGUCGGGCGUGAAAUUCCAGGGCUCAACCUUGGGGCUGCGUUCGAGACGGGCAUUCUAGAGUUCGGAAGAGGGUCGUGGAAUUCCCAGUGUAGAGGUGAAAUUCGUAGAUAUUCGGAAGAACACCAGUGGCGAAGGCGACU
rnacentral:rRNA from 1 species